CAGGGAGACAACAAAAUGUUUAAUAUUAUUAUUUUGUCACCUUAGGUCGAUCGGUAUCUCACGUUUUUAAUUUAUUAAGAAUUUCAUUUCCUAAGUUUUUCUAGGUCACACCCAUUAUUUUUCCUGGGCCAUUAGCUCAGGUGGUUAGAGCGCACCCCUGAUAAGGGUGAGGUCCCUGGUUCAAGUCCAGGAUGGCCCAUAUCUCUAUGUUGGGGGUAUAGCUCAGUUGGUAGAGCGCCUGCUUUGCAAGCAGGAUGUCAGCGGUUCGAGUCCGCUUACCUCCACUGAUUACCACCUCUUCCAUAAUCUUUUAGAUAAGGAAAUUUUUUGAGUUGUGAUCAAAUUCUGAACGAAUCUAGCUUCCUAAUGAAAUCAUUAAGAUGCUGGACUCAUUGAAUUAAUUUCAUUGUUUUCAGAGAACCUUGACAACUGCAUAGAUUAUUUUUAAAGACAAUAAGCAUCUUUGAUGAUGCAGAUUUAUUAUUUGUGCGAAUGCAUUAAUAACAAUUCUAUUAAGCUAAUGCUUCAAUUUUGAAGUUAUU
rnacentral:tRNA from 1 species